AGAGUUUGAUCAUGGCUCAGAACGAACGCUGGCGGCGUGCUUAACACAUGCAAGUCGAACGAGAAAGGAUUCUUCGGAAUCCGAGUAAAGUGGCGCACGGGUGAGUAACGCGUAGAUAAUCUGUCUUUAUGUUUGGGAUAACCCUUCGAAAGGGGGACUAAUACCGGAUAUAUUCGUACCUGUAGGGGUAUGAAGGAAAGGUGGCCUCUAUUUAUAAGCUAUCGCAUAAUGAGGAGUCUGCGUACCAUUAGCUAGUUGGUGGGGUAAAGGCCUACCAAGGCAACGAUGGUUAGCGGGUCUGAGAGGAUGAUCCGUCACACUGGCACUGAAACACGGGCCAGACUCCUACGGGAGGCAGCAGUGAGGAAUAUUGCGCAAUGGGGGAAACCCUGACGCAGCGACGCCGCGUGAGUGAGGAAGGCCUUCGGGUCGUAAAGCUCUGUCAGAUGGGAAGAAGUGUUAUAUAGUUAAUACCUGUAUAAUUUGACGGUACCAUCAAAGGAAGCACCGGCUAACUCCGUGCCAGCAGCCGCGGUAAUACGGAGGGUGCGAGCGUUGUUCGGAAUCACUGGGCGUAAAGGGCGCGCAGGCGGUUUUAUUAGUCAGAUGUGAAAGCCCACGGCUCAACCGUGGAAGUGCAUUUGAAACUGUAAGACUUGAGUAUCAGAGGGGAAAGUGGAAUUCCCGGUGUAGAGGUGAAAUUCGUAGAUAUCGGGAGGAAUACCGGUGGCGAAGGCGACUUUCUGGCUGAAUACUGACGCUGAGGCGCGAAAGCGUGGGGAGCAAACAGGAUUAGAUACCCUGGUAGUCCACGCCGUAAACAAUGUGCACUAGAUGUAGGGGGUGUUGAUCCCUUCUGUGUCGCAGCUAACGCAUUAAGUGCACCGCCUGGGGAGUACGGUCGCAAGAUUAAAACUCAAAGGAAUUGACGGGG
rnacentral:rRNA from 1 species